UCAUUGGGAUCUCGCGAGAACGAAAUCUUCCUUUCUGUGGGCGGAGCAAUCUUCCCGAUGUCUCUUCCCUCUGAGGCCAGUAGCAGGAAGGGCCUCGGGAGUUGCGAGUGUCGCGAGGUUUGAGGUCGCUCGGUGGGCCGGGCGCUGUGCGAAGCUAGAAAUAACUGGGGGCAUGGAGAAUGCGGUGGCUGUAAAGGGCCGCUGAGGCGGUGGAGGCCUGGCAGAGAGCGUCCCCGCGGUCGCGGCUUCUGGCUUCUCUGUGGAGCUUGGUUCUUCCGUGGUGGUGCAGCACCCCAGGAACUUCAGGAACCAGUCCUUCCUUGGAGAGCUCCCCGGGACAGCCACGGGGGCCAAGUGAAACUAGCGCGUUUUCUUGGAUCCUACACUUUAUAGUGAGUCAUAAAUACUUUAAAUACAAAGCCAACAACAUUUGCUGCAAAUAAACGUAAAAAUACUGUUAAAGUGUAAAGUGUUUUCCUCCGUACCAUCUGACGUUUCUGGCGGUUCGUUGAACGCGAGAGAACGCUGAGCCGUCUGCACUGAGCCCGGGAGCAUCUUCAGGGCAGCGCCGCCCACGCGCGAGUGGCUAGAAGUGACCCCAGGAUUUUUUUAUUAUCAAGAGAGACUAGAAGAAUCAUGAGACUUUUCCUAGUUGCCUUUCAAGAAUAUGAAGAAAAAAAUGGUUCUCAAAGUGGGUUUGAAUGAGUAUUGUUCCAAUAAAUGAACUUAUAUUCAUAUUUCAUCCCCUGAGUCCUGGUGUUUCAACAUCCAUUAGAACUGAAUAAUCAUACUGCAUAUCAAAGUUUGUGGGAAAUUGCUAAAGUGUAAAAAAUGCUCAUAUUGAAAAAGAAGAAAAGCUGAAAAUUAAUUGUGCUUCCAACUUUAAAAAAGGACAACAAGCUAAUCCUAAAGAAACUAGAAUAAAAGGAAAAAAUAAACAGAAGUUAAAGAGUAAUUUUAAAAAAUACAAUAGAAAUUAUCAACGAAGCCAAAAGUUGAUUCUUUGAAAAGAUUAAUGAAGUAGGCAAACCACUGGUGAGAUGAAUCAAGAAAAAUAGAGAAAAGACUCAAAUAAACAUUAGGAAUGGAAAAUAGGGCAAUGCUAAAGAGAAUUCAAAGAUCAGAAAAAUAUGGGAGUAUACUAAAAACGAUUUCAUGCCCAAGUGUUCAAAUCUAUAUUGCCUUUAAAAAUAUAUAAAAAAGGAGCCGGACACUGGCUCAUGCCUAUAAUCCCAGCACUUUGGAAGGCUGAGGUGGGUGAAUCACAAGGUCAAGAGAUCAAGACCAUCCUGGCUAACACAGGGAAAACCCGUCUCUACUAAAAAUACAAAAAAUUAGCUGGGCGUGGUGGCACACGCUUAUAGUCCCAGCUGCUCAGGAGGCUGAGGCAGGAGAAUUGCUUGAACCCAUGAGGCAGAGGUUGCAGCGAGCAGAGAUGGCCCCACUGGACUCCAGCCUUGGCGACAGAGAGAGACUCCAUCUCAAAAAAAAAAAAAAAAAUCAAAAAGGAAAAGAAGCACUGAAGAAAUCCAUAACCGUUGGAGAAGCUUGAAUCAGUAGUUGAUAAUGUCCCUCCAAGAAAAGACCAGAUGUAAGUGACUGUACAGGAAAGUUCUGCCAAAUGUCAAAGGGAAUAGAUAAAUAUCACAUAAACUCUUCCAGAGAAUACAAGAAAAGGAACACUCCCCAACUUAUUUUAUAAACUUGGUUAAAUCUUGAUAGCAAAAUUUAAUAAGGACACCAUGACAAGUGAAAUUAUAAGCAAAUUUUACUUACAGUUAUAUGCAAAAGUUCUAAACAAAAUACUGGACAACUGAAUCUAAUUUUGAAUAAUACUAGCAAGAAUAAUAAUAAUAACAAUAAUAAUAAUAAUAAUGCAUCAUGACCAAGUUGGGUUUACCUCAAGAAUGCAAAUAUAGUUUAAAACUGGAAAAUCUAGUAGUGAAAUUUACCACACUAAGAAAUAAAGAAGAAAAAUUAUGUCAUCUCAACAGAUCGAAAAAUUUUCUAAAAUCCAACCAAAUAUUAGCAAAAAAGCAAUAAAGGAAAAUUUCUUAACUU
rnacentral:lncRNA from 1 species